CUACGGGAGGCAGCAGUGGGGAAUUUUGGACAAUGGGGAAACCUGAUCCAGCCAUCCCGCGUGUGCGAUGAGGCCUUCGGGUUGUAAAGCGCUUUGGCAGGAAAACGGCGCAGUAAUACCGUGCAACUGACGGUACCUGCAGAAUAAGCACCGGCUAACUACGUGCCAGCAGCCGCGGUAAUACGUAGGGUGCAAGCGUUAAUCGAAUUACUGGGCGUAAAGCGUGCGCAGGCGGUUCGGAAGAAGAUCUUGAAAUCCCAGAGCUUAACUUUGGAACUGCAUUUUUAACUACCGAGCUAGAGUGUGUCAGAGAGGGAGGUGGAAUUCCGCGUGUAGCAGUGAAAUGCGUAGAUAUGCGGGAGGAACACCGAUGGCGAAGGCAACCUCCUGGGAUAACACUGACGCUCAUGCACGAAAGCGUGGGAGCAAACAGGAUUAGAUACCCCCGUAGUCCCUGUUACUGAUGCUCAGGAG
rnacentral:misc_RNA from 1 species